rnacentral:rRNA from 1 species
UACGGGAGGCAGCAGUGGGGAAUAUUGCACAAUGGGCGCAAGCCUGAUGCAGCCAUGCCGCGUGUAUGAAGAAGGCUUCGGGUUGUAAAGUACUUUCAGCGAGGAGGAAGGUGCUGCGGUUAAUAACCGCAGCAAUUGACGUUACUCGCAGAAGAAGC